rnacentral:rRNA from 1 species
UACAGAGGUCCCAAGCGUUGUUCGGAAUUACUGGGCGUAAAGCGCACGUAGGCGGAUACUUAAGUCAGGGGUGAAAUCCCGGGGCUCAACCCCGGAACUGCCUUUGAUACUGGGUAUCUCGAGUCCGGAAGAGGUGAGUGGAAUUCCGAGUGUAGAGGUGAAAUUCGUAGAUAUUCGGAGGAACACCAGUGGCGAAGGCGGCUCACUGGCCCGAUACUGACGCUGAGGCACGAAAGCGUGGGGAGCAAACAGG